rnacentral:rRNA from 1 species
AUUCGGUAUGAUCAUCGAUUGAAUAUGAUUUCGGUGGGAAAACACUGAUGGACUUGAUUUGCUUUUCACGUCAGUGUCUUAGGGUCGCAACGAAUCGUUGACGUGACUAGUAUAGUUCUCGCUCCUUCUGUUCCCUGGACUUCACUUCCCUGGCUUAUCAUACCGA